rnacentral:ribozyme from 1 species
GAAACGCAGUCUAAUCUAGCAGCAUAGACUAGUACGGAGAUGACUAAAAAGAGUGAAGGAGUUGAAGCCAGCCUAUCGAAAUCGGUCGGCGCAGCU